UUCAAACACAAAAGCAGCUUUAAGAAAUGUCUAAUUAUUAAUGAAGGAGGAUUUAGUAAUUUCGAAGUUUGAAAUAUGCUUUCAGAAAAGAUGCUUUUUGGUAAAAUUAUACAUCAAAAUAAACAUCGUUUUAAAAAGACCUAAAUCCAAAUUAAGACGCCUUUCCUAAAAGUUGGAUUUUAACUGAACAUAAAACUUAGAAAGAUACAGUGGAAUAGGGAUUACAAAGUUAACUACACGUACAAUAUGCCCAGCUACCGCCCCGCAGGGAGCUAAAGAGGUUUCUCUUCCCUUUGAGGGCGAGCUCUUCUAAUACCGAACACGCUGCCGGCCGACACCGCCAAACCUGUUCCACCAACUCCUCUUGUAGCUACACUGCCAGGGAGGGCAGCUUAGGGUGUACCGAGGGAAUAAGGUCACGCCUGGUGGCUAUUCAUGCAGCUCAGAGAACUCACUUUACACAACAGGCAAACAGGUGACAUCCAAAUCCACCCAUUCACAGGCGCACAAUUUACAGUAGAAAAAGACCUAUUUCCAGAACCCCCGGGCAGGUGUGUACUGUAACGUGCAUCCACAUCGUGUGAGCUCGCGUGAGCUCCGGGAAUUGUCUUCCGGAUAUUUCAAACUCUGCCUUUCGGAUGAUCUUCCCGUGUUAACUGGGAGCGGGGUGAAAGGGUGUGGCACCGCAGACAGGUUCACCAAGGGCAUCUGCGCAGAUUUAGGAGACGGCGCACAUUCCUCUUUCUCAUGAGACCAGAAAACGAGAACAAAACUCAGUCAAUCGCACACCGAGCGCCCGCCGACCGCUCUGAGAUCCGCACUGAUGGGGUCCCGCGCUUUGACUCGGGAACGGAGGCAGCGCUCCUGACGACCGACCACUCGCUAGAAAACAAUACUGCCAUUGUGCGGCCGCGGCUUGGGGCCGCCGACCUCGCACUCUACCCGCUGCGGGCGCUCCCAAAUGUCACCCGAACCUGAAGUUCACAUCAAAGCAGCGCAGGGGACAGCACUUGCAGCCGUCCCAGAAGGGCAAAGUUAAAGCACCAAAGACAUAUUCUGAGCGUCCGGACCAACACGUCGCCCUCCUUCCUCCUCGGAGUGGUCAUAAUCAUCAUGGUAAGAGGACAGCAGCUAACACUGGGUGCUUAUUAUGUGCCAAUUACAAUCCCAGGCUCAAAAUGGAACAGAGACCCACUCACAUGUAAGAAUGAGUAUCGAUAAAACUCUUAGCAGAAAACAGAGGUAAAUUUUCAAGACCUUGGAUGUGGCAACAGUUCUUAGAUAUGACAGCAAAAGUAACAACAGAAAACAUAUUGGACUUUACAAAAACUCUAAAAUUUUGUGCAAAGAACACUAUCAAAAAAGUAAAAAGAUAUCUCACAGAAUGGGAGAAGAUAUUUGCCAAUCACACAUCUGAUAAGGAUCUAGUGCCCAGAAUAUACACAGAACUCUUAAAAUUUAGCAACAGAUAACACAAGUAAAAAAUGGGCAAAGAACGUGCAUAGAAAGUUCUUCACAGAAGAGCUACGGUGGCCAAUAGGCACACGAAAAGAUGCUUGACAAAAUCAUCAUUCAUUGGGGAAAAGCAAAUCUGACCAAAACGAGAUACCAAUUCAUACCCACGAAGAUGGCUCCAAUCAAAAACCAGAAUAACAAAUACUGAGGAGGAUAUGGGGAAACUGGAAGCCGUGUUGCUGAUGGAAACGUUAACAGGCUGCAGCUGCAGUGGAAAACCAGCUUCUCACCUGCAUCUCCACUCCUGGGUGUGUACCAGAGGCUCUGAAAACCAGGACACAGAUUUCUGCACACUUGUGCUCACGGCAGCGUUAUUCACAGUGGCCGAAAGGUAAACGCACCUUUCAAGUGUCCGUGGUCAGCCAGCUGGCCGGAGGGACAGAACUUGGUCCACACACACAGUGGAACAUCAUUCAGCCUUCACAAAGGAAGCACGAUGUGGGCUACACGUUGUGGAACCCGCACGGUGAGUGGAAGAGGUCAGACACGGAAGGCCACCAAGUGUGACUGCAGUUAUGUUAAAACCCAGAGCGGGCAAGUCCCGCGUUAGCGGGCCAGCAGGUGCCCAGGCUUGGGCACUGGAGCAGGAGUGAACACUCAACCCCACGGGGGCAGGGUUCUGUUUGCCACAAUGACAAAGUUCUGCACUGGACGCAGGUGCCGCUCAGCUGUACGGCUUGAAAUGUGAGCUGCAGUCCGUUUCCCCCAUGGCUUCCUCCCCUGUGUUUACACUGUGGGCGUAUUUUUACAAAGGCCAGUACAGUAAACCUUCAGCAUCUCUUGCUAGACAACAAAAAAGUACCAGGAAACCACGAGGGCCAGUAUAAGGACAGAGGAGCUGACAGGGGCUCCAGCAGCUGGAUGGCAGACAACAGGGGCAUCGGAGCAAGCAACCAGGAGUCCGCGAGUCUGUCCAGAGGAGGACAGAGACGGUCACUGCUGACCAAGGCGAAGUGGAUCUGAGCAGGGAUCGCCCAGCAGGAGAAUCUGGUGGGGGAGAGGAGGUCCAUACCACGUCCACGUACCUUCCCACAGAUUACUUCAAAAGUACAACAGGAGAAACACUAACCACACAGAGAAGAAGCCAGCUAAAGCCUUAACCAACGACAACAUGGGACACCAACAGACGGGGGCAAACGGACAGCAGGUACCUCCUGAUGUGCUGUUGGCUGAGCAAAUUGUGUGGGACCCUUGCUGGAUGAGCCCAGUGGACAUAAUUCAUGAAAACUGGUGUGCGGUUUUGGGAUGCGUGAGCGUUAAGAAAGAAGAGGCUGGUGUAGCUGAUACGGGGAAGGGGACCGGGGUAACUGUGGUGUGGGGCCUGGACGGUGUCUGGACAAAAGCAGAGAGGGCUCCCUCCCCCUGGGAUAAAACUGUUACGGCAGUAAUUGACUCGAGAGUGUCUCUGGGAGGUACCCACUAAAGUACUAGGUGCAGGAGGUAUGAUGUAGUCUCUCAAGUGCCAGUGCUGAAAACACAGGCAACACGUUCUGGGAAUGCUUUGAACUAUUCUCACAAAGUCUCUGUAAGUCUGAAUCACCUCAAAAUAAGAAGCAAACAAACUCAAAGUGCCACAAGAGACACACCCAGGAUGGACCUGCCUGGCCCAGUGAGCGGGGUGAGGAAGUGACAGAGGGUUUUCUGGAGAAAGCAUCUGGGGAGGGAAAUCUUAACCAGCAGUCAAAUGCUGAGGAUGGAUGGGGGUGGAGUGAGGUUUUCUGGAGGUGGCUCACUUUCUGGAGGUGGUUUUCUGGAGUGAGGUUUUCUGGAGGGGGGCACAGAAGCCCUGGAGAACGUGGGAACUGAGGGGGCAUAGAGCCCGCAGGCAGCUCAGGACACAGUUGUGGCACCUGCAGACAGCAGUCGCUUGGGGAGGGAGGAGGGGACCGCAGCAAUCUGGGGCGUCUGAGCCUGGGGACGUUGGUGCGUAUGUGCUCAGGACCACGGACUCACAGGCUGGAGGCUGAGGGCCUGUGUGGGCUGAGAAGGGAGCUGAUAGGCUCUGGGAACGUUAGCGUCUAGAGUAGAGGUGGAGGGCCCACAGGAGAAGACAAGUAACACGGUGCAUCAACUGUACUUCAAUAACCAGUUAAAACAAACCCAAAAAGGAGACAACCACAAAGACCAACCAGCAGAGUCAGAAACAGAAGAAAACCCUGAAACAGAGAGUCUUGGAAACGGAACAAACAGCCUCACGACAGGCUGUCUCCAGCCUGGGCUCCCAGGUGCCUUUCUUGGUCCUUUCUAGAAGGCCCUUGUCCCUGCUGUUUUCUUCCCGGCUCCACCCCAAACCAGCCAGGGGACACAGGCCGUCAUGGUGAAAUGCUGUUUUCCAGAGGCUAUGAGGACCCUGCAGUUUUACUUCUGUGAUUUAAAAAAACCUCUCAUUAAAUACUCCGUGACAGGCAGCA